rnacentral:lncRNA from 1 species
UCAUCCUACUCAUCACCGCCCAGCGAGCCUACGAAUAGAUUACUCACGAACGACAAAGAGCUUCAUGGAAUUGGAGAGGGAACAAGGUUGAUGAUGACGAUGGCGACGAUUUCCCCUCUCCGGAGCCCAAAACGGACUCCAGAUCUGUCCUCCAGAUGAAGAACAGGUUGUGGCGGCGCCUCCGUAUCGCAAACGCGACGAAAUAUUCUCUCUUGAUUUUUUCUGGGACGAAAGUGAACUUAUAGAGCUGAGAUUGGGGGCGGCAGAGCCACGUGGGCCCCACAAGCUUGCCAUCCCCCACCAGGGGGGUGGCGGUGGCACGACUUGUGGCCCACUGGUCCACCUCCUCCGGUGGAUCUUUGCGCAGGUAUUUUUCAAAUUUUCCAAAAGUAUUCCUUGUAAAUUUUCAGGACGUUCUGAGAACUUUGAUUUCUGCAUAAAAAUAACACCAAGGCAAUUCUGCUGAAAACAGCGUCAGUCCAGGUUAGUUCCAUUCAAAUCAUGCAAAUUAGAGUCCAAAACAAGGGCAAAAGAGUUUGGAAAAGUAGAUACGAUGGAGAUGUAUCACACAUACUAAUAGAUCUUACAUAUUUGGAAGCAAUUUUUAUUUCUUGCACCGAUGACAACUUACUUGAGGGAUCUUAUUCAAUCCAUAGGUAGGUAUGGUGGACUCUCAUGGCAAAACUGGGUUGAAGGUUUAUGGAUGCACAAGUAGUAUCUCUACUUGGUGCGGGAGUUUUCGCUAAUAUGAGGUGGAAGCAAUCGUUACAUGCUAAGGGAUCUCUAGUUAUAUAACAUUGUUCAGAUCCAAGCAAACACAAUUCAUUAUGUUGUCUUCCUUGUCCAACAUCUACUUCUAAACAUGCAAUAGUUUAGUGAGUGUUCACAAUCAUAGAUGGGGCCCAAGAUGAUAUACUUAUAUGUGAACCUCUCUUUCUUUAUUACUUCCUAUUAAUUGCAGCAAUGACCAAGGUCUACGUUUGUCCACCCACAACAAGUUUCAAUCAUCAUUCUUCUUAUAUGUGAAGCCAUCACUUCCCAUAAGAUCAUUACAUGAUCUUUCAUGCUUUUGUUCUUUCAUCAUUCUUUUCUUUCAGAUCAUGGUAUGAAGCAAGGCCCUUAACUAAAACACUAUUUAUUAUAUGACUCACGAACUUGAAUACAUCGGGGGUGACACCAAGCAAAACUCAAGCCUAAAAUACUAAGAACUUUAUUCUACUAGAGAAAGAUAAAACCAAAAAGGAAUGAACUAAGAAAAGGUAAAGGCAAAAGAUGUGAUGGUGAUACGAUACUGGGGCAACUCCCCUAAGCUUGGCACAAGCCAAGGGGAUUGCCCAUACCCAUGCUUAGUUGUCUUCCUUUGGAGGUGAUGGUGGUGGAGUUGUUGCAGAGGUCUUGAACUUGUUUAAUUUCCUCUUGAGCAUAAAAUUCUGCUCCUUCAGAUUAUUAAUUUCCUCUUCAAGCCUCAACACCCUUUGGCAUAAUUCCUGCUUACUCUCCUACAAAAGACGAGAAGGGAUAAACAAAAUCUUAGGCUUGUUCCUUGAGUCGGGGAGGCUUAACUUUUUGAACUCCACGUAUGUGUCUCCGGGUUGGGGUAGAGGAGCCUCCUCUUCAUCGGAGCUUGUUCCUUCCUUCCCCUUGGGAUCAUAAUCUUCUUCCUCAUCAGUGGUCCAACCAUAGUGAUCCAAGUCCCCAUAGAUCUUGGGAUUAGCAAGGUAAUCGGCCACAUAGCUCUCCCCCUCUGAAUCUUGAGAUGACAUCUUGCUUUAAAUCUGCGGCAGAAAACAAGCUCGAAACGAAAACAAAGGAAAUUUGCGCGAUACGAGGGUCACACCUUUCGAGAGAAUAUAUAAUGAUUUUUUUCGACCAGAAGGAGUACUCCGCAAGAAAACGGAGUCCGAGAGGCACACGAGGUGGUCACAAGCCCCCCAGGCGCGGCCAAGAGGUGGCCCGCGACUGGCAGGCUUGUGGCCUCCUGGUGCACUUUUCGGACUGCUUUCAAUUUUUCUAUUUUUUCAAAAAUUCCAAAACGGAGAAAACAUCCUACUGGAAAAGUUUUGGAGUCUGUUUACUUACCGAAUCACAUACCUCUUCGUUUUCGGAGUCUGGAACAGGCUGAUAAAUAUCCCUUAUGUACUCCUCCGGAGUUAUGCUAUUGAUAUUAUUGCUUUCAACAUUUAUGGGAGUACCUCAGAUAUAAUGCUUGAUUCUUUGCCCAUUUACCACUCUCGGAAAAUUACCUUCCGUAUUGUUGAUCUUGAUGGCACCGGAACGAUAUACUUCCUCAACAAUGUAAGGACCUUCCCACUUGGAGAGAAGCUUGCCUGCAAAAAAUCUUAAACGAGAAUUAUAUAGCAAGACAUAAUCACCUACAUUGAACUCACGCUUUUGUAUCCUUUUAUCAUGCCACCUCUUAACCUUUUCUUUGAACAACUUGGCAUUUUCAUAUGCCUGAGCUCUCCAUUCAUCAAGCGAGCUAAUGUCAAAUAACCUCUUCUCACCAGCAAGUUUGAAAUCAAAGUUGAGCCCUUUGAUUGCCCAAUAAGCCUUAUGCUCUAGCUCAAGAGGUAAAUGACAUGCUUUACCGUAUACCAUUUUGUACGGAGACAUGCCCAUGGGAUUCUUAUUGGCAGUUCUAUAAGCCCACAGUGCAUCAUCGAGCUUCUUAGACCAAUUCUUUCUAGACCUAUUGACAGUCUUUUGCAUAAUUAGUUUAAUCUCUCUAUUGCUUAGCUCUACUUGACCACUGGACUGAGGGUGAUAGGGAGAAGCAACUCUAUGGUUGACAUCGCACUUAGCAAGUGUUUUACGGAAAGCACCAUGAAUGAAGUGUGAACCACCAUCAGUCAUUAGAUAUCUAGGGACUCCAAAUCUAGGGAAAAUAACUUCCUUAAGCAUCCUGAUAGAGGUGUUAUGAUCAGCACUACUAGUUGGGAUAGCUUCUACCCACUUAGUGACGUAAUCAACAGCAACUAGGAUAUGAGUAUGCCCACUGGAUUUUGGAAAAGGUCCCAUAUAAUCAAAGCCCCAAACAUCAAAUGGUUCAAUGACAAGUGAAUAAUUCAUAGGAAUUUCCUGACGUUUACUGAUAUUACCUAUUCUUUGACAUUCGUCACAAGACAAGACAAACUUACGGGCAUCCUUGAAGAGAGUGGGCCAAUAGAAACUUGAUUGCAAUACCUUGUGUGCAGUUCUAACUCUCGCAUGGUGUCCUUCGUAGGCCUCGAAGUGACACUUCUGUAGGAUAUGUUCAUGUUUAGGUACACAACGUCUAAUAACACCAUCUACUCCUUCCUUAUAAAGGUGAGGAUCAUCCCAAAAGUAAUGUCUCAAAUCAAAGAAGAAUUUCUUCUUUUGCUGGUAUGUGAAACUAGGUGGUAUAUAUUUGGCAACGAUAUAAUUUGCAUAAUCAGCAUACCACGGUGCACUACGUGAAGCAUUGAUGACAUUCAGUUGCUCAUCAGGAAAGCUAUCAUCAAUAGGUUGUGGGUCAUCAAGAACAUUCUCCAACCUAGACAAGGUAUCUGCUACUCGGUUCUCAGCACCCUUCCUGUCGACAACAUGCAAAUCAAAUUCUUGUAGCAAGAGAACCCAUCUGAUAAGUCUAGGUUUAGCGUCUUUCUUUUCCAUGAGGUACUUAAUAGCAGCAUGAUCAGUGUGAAUAGUGACUUUGGAAUCAACUAUAUAAGAUCUGAACUUUUCACAUGCAAACACGACUGCUAAAAAUUCCUUUUCAGUAGUAGCAUAGUUCCUUUGGGCACUGUCUAGAGUUUUACUAGCAUAGUGAAUAACAUUCAACUUCUUAUCAACUCUUUGCCCUAGGACAUCGCCAACAGCAUAAUCACUAGCAUCACACAUGAUUUCAAAAGGUAAGUUCCAAUCAGGUGGUUGAACAAUAGGCGCAGUUAUCAAGGCCUUCUUAAGUAUUUCGAAGGCUUCCUCACAAUCAUCGUCAAAAACAAAAGGAAUAUCCUUUUGCAAGAGAUUGGUAAGAGGCCUAGAAAUAUUAGAGAAGUCUUUAAUGAACCUUCUAUAGAAACCAGCAUGACCAAGGAAACUUCUUAUACCUUUGAUAUAUGUGGGGCAUGGCAUUUUCUCGAUCGCAUCAACCUUAGCCUUAUCGACUUCAAUAUCUCUUUCAGAAAUUUUAUGUCCUAAAACGAUGCCUUCAUUAACUAUAGAGUGGCACUUCUCCCAAUUCAAGACAAGAUUGGUAUCUUUACAUCUCUGCAAGACUCGAUCAAGGUUGCUGAGGCAAUCAUCAAAAGAAGACCCGUAAAUGGAGAAGUCAUCCAUGAAAACCUCAACAAUCUUUUCACAUAAGUCACAGAAUAUAGCCAUCAUACAUCUUUGAAAGGUAGCAGGUACAUUACAUAAGCCAAAAGGCAUACGUUUGUAAGCAAAGGUACCGAAAGGGCAGGUGAAAGUGGUUUUCUCCUGAUCAGAUUGUGCAACUGGUAUUUGGGAGAAACCAGAAUAACCAUCUAGAAAGCAGAAGUGUGUGUGUUUGGACAGUCUUUCUAGCAUUUGGUCGAUAAAAGGCAAAGGGUAAUGAUCUUUCCUAGUGGCCUUAUUCAAUUUCCUAAAAUCGAUCACCAUCCUAUAGCCAGUAAUAAUCCUCUGUGGGUUCAAUUCAUCUUUAUCAUUAGGGACAACGGUAAUACCUCCCUUCUUAGGGACGCAAUGCACCGGACUCACCCAAUCACUAUGAGCAACAGGAUAGAUAAUGCCUGCUUCCACGAGCUUUAGUAUUUCUUUUCUUACUACCUCUUUCAUCUUAGGAUUUAAUCUUCGUUGAUGAUCAGCAACUGGUUUGGAAUCAGGAUCAGUUUUAAUCUUGUGCUGGCAUAGAGUGGGACUAAUACCCUUAAGAUCAUCGAGUAUAUCCAAUAGCAGCAUGGUGCUUCCUCGGAGUUUUUAAUAACUUCUUUUCUUCAUGCUCUGAGAGGAUAGCACUAAAGAUAACAGGAUAUAUCUCUUUUUCAUCAAGAUCAGCAUACUUAAAAGUAUCAGGCAACUGUUUAAGAACGAAGACAGGAUCACCCUUUGGUGGGGGUGGAUCUCCAAACAGUUCAAUAGGCAAGUUAUUCUUAAGGACAGGAUGUUGUUCAAAGAUAACUCUAUCUAUCUCAUUCCUUUCAUCAAUAUGCAUAUCAUUUUCAUGCUCAAUCAAGCAUUGCUCUAAAGGAUCAGUAGGAGGCACAACAAUAGAAGCUAGGGAAAUAAUUUCAUCCUUACUAGGCAACUCUUUUUCAUGAGGUUGUCUACCAAACUUGGAGAAAUUGAACUCAUGUGACACUCCUUCAAAGCCAACAGUGACAGUUUGCUUUUCAAAGUCAAUAUGAGCAUUGACAGUAUUGAGGAAAGGUCUGCCAAAUAUGAUGGGACAAAAGCUAUCAUGAGUGGUAGCAAGAACAAGAAAAUCAGCAGGAUACUUCGUUUUACCAGACAAGACUUCAACAUCCCUAACAAUUCCCAAAGGGCAGAUAGUAUCUCUAUUGGCAAGCUGAAUAGUGACAUCAAUAGGUUCCAUCUCGAUAGGUGCAAUCUCGUCUUUAAUUUCAUCAUAUAGAGAUUGAGGUAUUGCACUAACACUAGCACCCACGUCACAUAAACCAUGAUAACAAUGAUCUCCUAUCUUAAUAGAAACAACAGGCGUGCCAACAAUAGGCCUAUGUUUGUCUCUAGCAUGAGGUUUAGCAAUUCUAGCAGCAUCUUCACAGAAGUGAAUAUUAUGGCCCUCAACAUCGUCGGACAGGAGAUCUUUGAUAAUAGCAAUGCUAGGUUCAACUCUAAUUUUCUCAGGGGGUGUAAGUGUUCUAAUGUAUCCCCUACGUAUCACAGUUGAAACUUUAGAAUGAUCUUUUAUCCUAAUAGGGAAAGGUGGUUUCUCAAUGUAAGCACUAGGAACAAUAGGAUCAUUAUAAGCGAUGACUUUCUCUUCAACUGGAUUGGGUUUAACUACAUUGACUUCUAAGGGAGGACGAUAUUUAAACCACUUCUCUUUAGGGAGAUCAAUAUGAGCAGCAAAUGGUUCACACAAUGAAGCUACUAUCUCAGAGUCAAGUCCAUAUUUAGCGCUAAAAUCACAAAAAGUAUUUGUUUCAACAAAGGAUUUAACGCAGUCAAACUUGAGAUUCAUACCUGACUCCUUACCUCCAUCAAACUCCCAAUCUUCAGAGUUGCGUUUAAUUCUUUCCAAUAUAUUCCAUCUGAAGUCAAUAUCUCUCUUCAUAAAAGAACCGGUACAAGAAGUGUCAAGCAUGGUGCGAUCAUCAUGAGAAAGCCGAGCAUAGAAGUUCUGAAUGAUAAUUUCUCUCGAGAGCUCAUGGUUGGGGCAUGAAUAUAACAUUGAUUUAAGCCUCCCCCAAACUUGAGCGAUACUUUCUCUGUCACGAGGCCAAAAAUUAUAAAUAUAAUUCCGAUCACGAUGUAAUAGAUGCAUAGGAUAAAACUUUUGAUGAAAUUACAAUUUCAAACGGUUGUAGUUCCAUGAUCCAGUAUCAUCACAUAGCCUAUACCAUGUCAAUGCUUUAUCCCUCAAAGAUAAGGGAAAUACCUUCUUCUUGACCUCAUCCCCGGGCAAACCUGCAAGCUUAAAUAAACCACAAACUUCAUCUACAUAGAUUAGAUGCAAGUCGGGAUGUGAUGUUUCAUCUCGUGUAAAAGGAUUAGCCAGCGGUUUCUCAAGCAUACCCGAAGGAAAUUCAUAACAAGUAUUUUCAGUAGGUGCAGCAGGUUGAGGAGCAACUCCUUGUGCUUCCGUUCGAGGUGAAGAUACCCCGAACAAGCUCCUCAAAGGAUUAGUUUCCAUAGUAAGAAGUGACAAUAAAUUUCAGCACACUAUAUAAAUGUUUCCUUACCAAAGGCGCUUCACUCCCCGGCAACGGCGCCAGAAAAGAGUCUCGAUGACCCACAAGUGUAGGGGAUCUAUAAUAGUCCUUUCGAUAUGUAAGAGUGUCGAACCCAACGAGGAGCAGAAGGAUUUGACAAGUAGUUUUCAGCAAGGUAUUCUCGGCAAGCACUGAAAUUAUCGUUAACAGAUAGUUGUGUGGUAAGAUGAUUCGUAGCAAGUAGCAAGUAACAAUAGUAACAACGGUGAAGCGAAGUGUCCCAAUCCCUUUUGUAGCAAGGGACAAGCCUGGACAAACUCUUAUAGGAGGUAAAACGCUCCCGAGGACACAUGGGAAUUUCUGUCAAGCUAGUUUUCAUCAUAUUCGUAUGAUUCGCGUUCGCUACUUUGAUAGUUUGAUAUGUGGGUGGACCGGCGCUUGGGUACUGACCUUACUUGGACAAGCAUCCCACUUAUGAUUAACCCCUCUCGCAAGCAUCUGCAACUACGAAAGAAGAAUUAAGACAAAGUCUAACCAUAGCAUUAAACUAGUGGAUCCAAAUCAACCCCUUUAAACUAGGGUUUAAGCUUCUGUCACUCUAGCAACCCAUCAUCUACUUACUACUUCCCAAUGCCUUCCUCUAGGCCCAAAUAAUGGUGAAGUGUUAUGUAGUCGACGUUCACAUAACACCACUAGAGGAGAGACAACAUACAACACAUCAAAAUAUCGAACGAAUACCAAAUUCACAUGACUACUUAUAGCAUGACUUAUCCCAUGUCCUCAGGAACAAAAGUGACUACUCACAAAGCAUAAUAAUAUUCAUGACCAGAGAGGUAAUGAGUAGCAUCAAAGAUCUAAACAUAUAAUCUUCCACCAAGUAAUCCAACUAGCAUCAACUACAAAGAGUAAUUAACACUACUAGCAACCUUACAAGUACUAAUCAGAGUCGCGAGACGGAGAUUGGUUACAAGAGAUGAACUAGGGUUUGGAGAUGAGAUGGUGCUGAUGAAGAUGUAGAUGGUGACGAGUCCCCUCCGACGAGAGGAGUGUUGGUGAUGAGGAUGGCGAUGAUUUCCCCCUCCGGGAAGGAAGUUUCCCCGGCAGGAUCGUCCUGCCGGAGCUCUAGAUUGGUUGUGCUCAAGUUCCGCCUCGUGGCGGCGGCGAUUCCUCCCGAAAGCCUCCUCUUGAUUUUUUCUGGAACGAAACCCUUCUUGUAGCAAAAGAGGGGAGCCAGAGGGCCAGUUGGGACUCCACAAGCCCCCUAGGCGCGGCCAGGGGGAGGCCGCGCCUAGCAAGCUUGUGGCCUCCUGCUGGCGCCCCUCUGGUACUUCUUCGGGCCAGUAGUUUUUAUAAAAUCCAAAAUAAAUCCUCAUUGAUUUUCAAGGCUUUUGGAGUUGCGCAGAAUAGGUAUCUCAAACUUGCUCCUUUUUCAGGCCAGAAUUCCAGCUGCCGGCAUUCUCCCUCUUCAUGUAAACCUUGCAAAAUAAGAGAGAAAAGGCAUAAGUAUUGUACCGUGAAGUGUAAUAACAGCCCAAAAAGCGAUAAAUAUCAACAUGAAGUCAUGAUGCAAAAUGAACGUAUCAGGGCUCCUCCUCUCGAACCCUUUGGGUUUGGUGAUGACUUGUAGGAAGAGGAUGAUGAGGAGGAGGAAUGGGAAGAUGAGGAGGAGGUGACCGAGAUAGAGGAGGUGGCAUUCACCGCCGUUGCAAGACCCACCGUGCGCUCGACAAACUAUAGCGAGGACGAAGAUAUUCUCUUGGUUCUUGCUUGGGCACAUGUGGGGUUGGAUGCAAGCACCGGUACCGAUCAAACCGGUAAACGCUAUUGGCAACGCAUAGAGGACGUCUAUUGCAAGAUCAAGCCGAAGACCGGUGGGUACAUCCAUCAUAGUUACCGGUCGCUUCAAGGCCGGUGGGAGUUUAUGAAGCCCCAUUGUGCUCGUUGGAGUGCGGCAAUGGACCAAGUGAAGGAUGCACCGCCUAGUGGAACCGUGGAGAGUGACUAUGUGAGUACAUAUAUGUUUUUCACAUUGAUUUUUUAUGCUAUUGUUAUGUGAGUACAUAUAUGUUUACUAUGCUAUUGGUGGGUUUGUAGGAGGCAAUUUCCGACUUGAGGUACAAGGAGAUGGGCGCUUCCAAGGGCAAAGCAUUCCCAUUUAAACGUGUUUGGAAAAUUCUUCAAACUUAUGACAAGUGGAAGUUGAGGGAUCAAGAGACCGCACCCAAUAAGUCGGCAAUGCUUAGGAUGUAUGAUAGUGAAGAGGAGGGAAGGAACGAGCACAAGCCCGCUAGAAACAAGAAGGAUAAGCUAAGGAAGAAGAUGGAAGGAGAGGUGUCAAGCAUAAGGGAGUAGAUAGAACAUAUGAUGAAGUCAAGGGAGGCAUUGACAAUGAAGACAUUGGAGACAAAGCUUCUUAUCAACGAGAAGAAGAAAGAGGUGAAGCUUGCACAAGUUGAAGCAAGGCGUGAAGAUGCCAAACGCAAGGCCAACUUGGAGGAGAGGAUGAUCAAGGUCAAAGAAGCAAAGGCAUGGAAAGAACUCAUGGUGGAAGAGAAGGAGCACAUGAUGAUGUCCAAGAAGGACAUGGAUGAAGACCAAUUGAUGUGGUGGAAGGAGUACAAGGAGGACAUCGCGGAGAGGAAGAGGAUAUUACGUGGUGCAUCCUCUACUCUUCGAGGUGACACUCUGAUCAGUGGUGGUGGCGAUGGUGGUGUGGAGGACUCCACCACCGGCGACAAUGGAGGUGCUUGAUGGACGUGGAAGUGGUCUAGGAGAUGGCGCGAGGUGCAACUUUUUGGUGAUGGUGCCGAUGAGAGGGGGAAGAUGAUGAUUGUGUGAUGUAAACUAUUAAACCAUGCAUCAAUGAUCUUCAUUUCCGUGUUUGUUUGAAGGUAUAUUGUGUUUUUCUAGUGAAAAUUGUGAUAUGUCAAAUGACAGUUUUAAGGGUUGGGUUUGGGGCAAAGACUAGAACCCUAAAACCCAACCCUUAUAAUAGAAUAUUCUGUUAUAAGGGUUGGGUUUGAGGGUUCUAGUCUUUGCCUCUGUUUUUCAACCCUUAAAAGUGUCAACAAUGGCCAGUUCUCAACCCUUAAAACUGGUUUUAGAUUUAAGGGUUUGAGGGCUCUACUAGACAUGCUCUUACAUAUUAGGCAUCAAGAUCUAUGGACAUAGAUCGAGACGCCUCAUAGGUCUUUCACAAAGCACAUACCUUGACAACAACUUGAAGAAGUUCAAUAUGGAGAAGGCUAAGAAGGGGUUCUUGCCUGUAUUGCAAGGUGUGAGGUUGAGUGCGACUCAACUACCUACCACGGCGGAAGAUAGAGAAAAGAUGAGUAUCAUCCCCUAUGCUUCAGCCAUAGGCUCUAUCAUGUAUGUCAUGUUGUGUACCAGACCUGAUGUGAACCUUGCCAUAAGUUUCGUAGGGAGGUACCAGAGUGAUCCAGGAGUGGAUCACUGGACAGCGGUCAAGAAUAUCCUAAAGUACGUGAAAAGGACUAAAGAUAUGUUUCUCGUCUAUGGAGGUGUCGAAGAGCUCGUCGUAAAGGGUUACGUUGAUGCUAGCUUUGACAUAGAUCCGGAUGACUCCAAAUCACAAACCGGAUACGUGUACAUUUUGAAUAAUGAGGCAGUUAGUUGGUGCAGUUGCAAGCAAAGCAUCGUGGCGGCAUCUACAUGUGAAGCGGAGUACAUAGCUGCUUCGAAAGCAGCACGGGAAGGAGUCUGGAUGAAGGAGUUCAUCACUGACCUAGGAGUUAUUCCAAGUGUGUCGGGUCCGAUGACUCUGUUCUGUGACAACACUGGAGCUAUUGCUAUUGCAAAGGAGCCCAAGUUUCACAAGAAGACCAAGCACAUCAAGCGUCGCUUCAACUCCAUUCGUGGAUACAUCCAGGAUGGAGAUAUAGAUAUUUGUAAAGUACAUACGGAUCAGAAUGUCGCAGACCCGUUGACUAGACCUCUUCCACCAGAAAAGCAUGAUCAGCACCAGAACUCUAUGGGUGCUCGAUUCAUCACAAUGUAACUAGAUUAUUGACUCUAGUGCAAGUGGGAGACUGUUGGAAAUAUGCUCUAGAGGCAAUAAUAAAGUUAUUAUUAUUAUAUUUCCACUUCAUGAUAAUUGUCUAUUAUUCAUGCUAUAACUGUAUUAACCAGAAACUGUAAUGCAUGUGUGAAUAUAUAGAACACAAUGUGUCCCUAGUGAGCCUUUAGUUGGCUAGCUCGUUGAUCAAUAGAUGAUCAUGGUUUCUUGAUCAUGGACAUUGGAUGUCAUUGAUAACGGGAUCACAACAUUGGGGAAUGAUGUGAUGGACAAGACCUAAUCCUAAGCAUAGCACUAGAUCGUGUUGUUCAUCUGCUAAAGCUUUUCUAAUGUCAAGUAUCAUUUCCUUAGACCGUGAGAUUGUGCAACUCCCGGAUACCGUAGGAGUGCUUUGGGUGUACCAAAUCUCACAACGUAACUGGGUGAUUAUAAAGGUGCACUACGGGUAUCUCCGAAAGUGUCUCUUGAGUUGUACGAAUCGAGACCGGGAUUUGUCACUCCGUGUGACAGAGAGGUAUCUCUGGGCCCACUCGGUAAUCCAUCGUCAUAAUGAGCUCAGUGUGACUAAGGAGUUAGUUACGGGGUGAUGCAUUACGGAACGAGUAAAGAGACUUGCCGGUAAUGAGAUUGAACAAGGUAUAGGGAUACCGACGAUCGAAUCUCAGGCAAGUAUCAUACUGAUAGACAAAGGGAAUUGCAUACGGGAUUGAUUGAAUCCUUGACAUAGUGGUUAAUCCAAUGAGAUCAUCGUGGAACAUGUGGGAACGAACAUGGAUAUCCAGACCCCGUUGUUGGUUAUUGGCCGGAGAGAUGUCUCGGUCAUAUAUGCAUGUCUCCCGAACCCGUAUGUUCUACACACUUAUGGUUCGAUGACGGCAGGGUUAUAGGGAAAUACUGUACGUGGUUACCGAAGGUUCUUCAGAGUCCCGGAUGAGAUCCCGGACGUCACGAGGAGCUACAAAAUGGUCCGAAGGUAAAUAUUGAUAUAUAGGAUGUGAGGUUUCACACACCAGAAGUGUUUCGAGCGUCACCGGUAACGUACCGGGACCACCGGAAGGGUUCCAGGGGUCCACCGGGAGGGGCCACCAGCCCAAAAGGCUAGCAUGGGCCAAAAGGUGGAAGGGAAGCAGCCCAGAGUGGGCUGGUGCGCCUCCCACCUAGGCCCAAGGCGCGGCAAGAGAGGGAAGGGGGGAACCCUAGCGCAGGAGGCCCAAGGCCCACCUAGGGGUGCGCCUCCACCUCUGUGUGCCCUGGUCGCCACCUCCCUGGCGCAGAUGGGGCUACCGCAUCCCUUAGGGUGGGAACCCUAAGGGUGGGCACCUCCUCCCUCUCCCCCUAUAUAUAGUAGAGUUUUUGGUUGAUUUGAGACAUGAAAACUCUCUUUCUCGGCGCAGCCCUUCCUCUCUCUAUCCUUGUCCUCCGCAUAGCUUAGCGAAGCUCUGCCAGAGAACCACGUAGCUCCACCGCCACCAUGUCGUCGUGCUGCCGGAGCUCUCCCUCAACUUCUCCUUCCUCCUUGCUGGUUCAAGUUGUUGGAGACGUCACCGGGCUGCACGUGUGUUGAACGCGGAGGUGCCGUAAUUCGGCACAUAUAUCGGAAUCCACCGCGAUCUGAAUCGUGCGAGUACAACUCCAUCAACCGCAUUCAUAGUAACGCUUCCGCUUAGCAAUCUUCAAUGGUAUGAAGAUGCUCUUCCCCUUUGCUCAUUGUUGGUUUCUCCAUAGAUAGAUCCUUGUAUGGCGUAGGAAAUUUUUUGAAAUUACUAUGAUCCCCAACACGAGCAUCGGGUUACCAGUGUGUCGCCCCAUCGGGCCGCAACGCCGCCACCCCGUGGUUAUCCCCUCGGCUGCACCACUACGCAAUGCCGGUACGCCGCCCUAUUGGGUCGUCGCGUUGCGGCACAUGGUCUACCCGCCGCCCCGAGGCCUUCCUGUCGUGGUUUUGUCACGGCAGAUGUCCUCGUGAAAGGACUUAGUACUGGAGCCAUCGCACCCUGGUGGCGACUCAAAGGGGUUAAGCGGGAGAGACACGGCGAUUUACCCAGGUUCGGCCCCUCUGAGGAGGUAAUAGCCUACGUCCUGCUUUGGUGUGUAUUGAUAUGGAUUUGAUUACAAGGAAGGCGUAACUCGCCUAAAUCUAGCACUCGAUGAUUUCUAACCCUCCUCUCCCCCUCCAGACUCGCCUUUAUAUAUAGGUCGAAGCCUUAGGGUUUACAAGAGUCCCUUCCCCUUUACAAAUCGUGACCACCAUGGUCUCUAAGUCGCCGUCUUGCAGAGCCCAGAGACCUUCCAUAAAUCAUAACCAUCCUGCGACUUUGAACCGCCCAGGCUGAGGCCCAACUAGCCCUAAAGGAUGAAUCUCCUUACUAGUAACCCGGCCCAUAUUCGGCGAGUCACUUAAUAGGCAAUAUCCCCAACAUUAGGCCCCAAAUUGACUUGAAUCUUCAUGCCAAUGCUUCCGUUUUAGUUGAAGGUGAUUCACUCCUUUGUGUUCCUUCAUACGCCAGAAAUUUUAACUCGCCAACUGGUACUGGAAAAAGUUUUUGAGCCGCCAAUGCAUUUCCCGUCAGCACUUUCCUUAGCCCUCGAUUUUCUGGAACUCCAACACAAUCCCAACGGAUCUUUUAGUGCAUCAUUAUCCCAAAAUUUUCGGACGUCAUCAUGGCGAAUCUUUUCUUCCUCGACGGUUCCCGCUCACGGCGCCUCGAUCCCCGCGCCCGUCCUGAUAAAUAGGCCGAAGGGACAGGGCUGACACCGGCCACCUACCAGUCUCGUCAGUCCCUCCAUCAUCAUCACAGCGAGAAGAGACGCCCCGCAUCCCGAAGGCAUCGCCGCCGGCCGCAAACUCCACCCCCGUUCGAAGAACUCCAGUGCCGCCCGCAAGCCGUCGCCGUUCGGGGAGCUCCGGCGCCGCCCGCAAGCCGUCACCGUUCGGAGAGCUCCGGCGCCGCCCGCAAGCCGUCGCCGUUCGGGGAGCUCCGGCGCCGCCCGCAAGCCGUCACCGUUCGGAGAGCUCCGGCGCCGCCCGCAAGCCGUCGCCGUUCGGGGAGCUCCGGCGCCGCCCGCAAGCCGUCACCGUUCGGAGAGCUCCGGCGCCGCCCGCAAGCCGUCGCCGUUCGGGGAGCUCCGGCGCCGCCCGCAAGCCGUCACCGUUCGGAGAGCUCCGGCGCCGCCCGCAAGCCGUCGCCGUUCGGGGAGCUCCGGCGCCGCCCGCAAGCCGUCACCGUUCGGAGAGCUCCGGCGCCGCCCGCAAGCCGUCGCCGUUCGGGGAGCUCCGGCGCCGCCCGCAAGCCGUCACCGUUCGGAGAGCUCCGGCGCCGCCCGCAAGCCGUCGCCGUUCGGGGAGCUCCGGCGCCGCCCGCAAGCCGUCACCGUUCGGAGAGCUCCGGCGCCGCCCGCAAGCCGUCGCCGUUCGGGGAGCUCCGGCGCCGCCCGCAAGCCGUCGCCGUUGCCAGGCUCCGCCGCCGCCGAAGGUCCCUUCAUUCCCCGGGACCCCUGCGCUUCCCCAACAGCCUCCAUCACCGCCGAUCUUCCUCAACCAAGAUCUUCAGGUUAGGCUCCUGUUUCCCCUUCUUUAAGGGUAGAUUUACUUCUUGUUGAUACUUCCGCCAUUGCCAUGGUUCCGAAGCUCUCCGUUCGUAACCAUCUAUUACCCUCGAACCGAUCAGUCUGAGCGCCAUUAGGGCACCCAGUGCCUUGAAUAGUCUUAUCCAUCUGUGCUCUUGCGAAUUUUCCAAAUACGCCAGUUUCUUCAAACAUGGGGCAUCACCCUGAUCACACAUCGUUCAUGUUUUAGCCAUGUCCGUAAGUUUUUAUAUCUGUUGAACAGAUCCAUUCCUCUUUCACUGUUUGUAAAAAGCUGUUUGGAAACUUCGUCCUUCCCUUAGUGUUUCGGAAAGAAUAAAUUUUACCACCCAUAGUAGCGUCGCUUCUGAGAAUAGCCCUGCUCCGAUAGGUCGCCACAUCAGCCCAACCCGGCCUCCCAGUCCGGCGGGUUAAGCAAGAGCUGAUCCCGAUUCACAUAGUAAAUGUUCGAGACAUGUAAUACCAUUUUCUUGCCUAUUUGUAGCAUGGGUGCCGUUUUCAAGAGCGAUUGGCUUCCUACCAAAGUCGAUGAUGCUGUUUUGGCGAAUUACGUGAAAGCGGGCUGCUUGGACCCUCAAGACGUCAUUGGAUGGCGCACCGGGUUAGGAGAAGACCUCCCCAACCCCAAGGAAGGGGAGAUAGUAGUUUUUGUGGAACACUUGGAACGGGGUUUUAAGCCGCCCGGAUCUAAAUUCCUUAGAGACGCCCUGAACUUUAUGAAUGUCCAACUCCAGGAUUUGGGACCCAAUUCCAUAAGCAACCUAAGUCAAUUCCAAGUCCUUUGCGAAGCUUAUUUGCGGAUCGAGCCUUCCGUCCCUCUGUUUUGGUACUUUUUCCACUUGAAUCGCCAGACGGAAUUCCACAAUGGCCCCAGUUUGGAACUCGGCGGGGUCAACGUCCAGCGUCGCAGGGACAGUCCGUUCCCUUCACUCACUAUGCCUAGCCAUCCCAAAGGCUGGGGUGAAUCUUGGUUUUAUUGCAAAGAAACAUCCCCUGCCGGCGAGAACAAACUUCAGGGCUACAGGCCAAGCCGCCUUCCGGUCAACUUCAAGCUCCCUGACAAGCUCACCGAGGAAGAAGAGUCGGACUUCGUCCCAAUUCUGUCCGAACUGAGAUCCUUGACUAACAACGGUCUCACCGGGGUUGACCUGCUCCGCUGCUGGGUCGAAUGGCGGAUCCUUCCUCUGAGCCGCCGAGAAGGUCUGAUGUGCGAAUUUGACGGUACUCUAGAUCAUCCCCAAUGCUACUUUCACACAGCAUUAACGGAAAAGUACAUCGUCGCCAUCAUCAAGAAGCUGACCGGCGAACCUGCAGCAAAGUGUGGCCAAAUCGGCCUUAAGCCCUUCUGCAAGAUUAACCCGGCGCCCAAGGUAACCAAAGCUAACUCGCCCUCAACUUUUAUUCCAUCUGUUUUAUUGCCAUCAUGACUUCAUGCCAUAUAUCUUUCCAGAAAGGCGACAAGUUCUGGUCUAGGAGACCUAAGAAACAAGCCAUGAAGAGUGCUAAGCCGCCUUCCAAGAAAAACAAGAGCAAAAGUAAAUCGGUUGCGGCCGAGCCAUCUGAAGUCGACGAAUCUCAAGCUGGCGACGCACUCUCAGAGGUACCAAUCCGUCCUCAUUUUCACUCACCACCUAUCACCUUUUAACUUUUAUUUAUCGCUCACUCCUCUUAUAAUAGAAUGAAGAUAACGAAAACCAAGAAGACUCUGUCGAGGUAAUUUCCGUCUCCUCCGAUUCAUCUCCUUCUCCACCUAAGCCGGCCCGGCGAAUAUGUGGGAAAGUACCUCUCUCACAUCCAAAUGCCCAUUUGGACCCAAAUUUCUUACUGAAGAAAACGCAGCACGCCUCGAAACGGAAAACGCGAAGUCAUUCUGGCGACCUAACACCUGGCUUGCCAACAACGAACAAAAGAAGACCAAGCGAGGUACCUCCUUUUUUUUAUUUGAGCAACCAUUGUUCGUGCUGCUUUGGAUCACAGUCAUAACCCGCCUGUAUUAUCGAUGUAUAAAUUCUGCAGGAUUCUCCCCCUACUUCUGGCGACUCAGUGAUGUCGACCCUUCCACCAGUGAUCCGAGUCCCGGGGUAAGUUUCUUGCCCUGAUCCUUGAGAAUAGAACUCUUUUUAAUUUUUUAACACACCUAUCUCUUUCAUUAGGGCGCAAGCCAAAAAGAGGAAGACCAGUGGAUCAAUCCCUGACGCCACUUCUGAGCUUCCAAGGAAAGCUACUCCGACUCAAGAAGAUCCGAGUCAAAACGAGCCGACAAUUCAAGCAAACCCUCCUGAGUCGCCCAAAGGAUCAACGGAUGUCCCUAGAUCACCGGUCGUAAUGGCGACAGCUGAUGACCUAGAUGUUGUAGUCAUUACUGGUUUUGGUUUCUCCAAGCCGGCAGCGACAAUCCUCUCCAAACAUAUAGCAUCCCCUUCUCCAUCAAUUCCCGAGUCUGGGCCUUCCAAGGCGAAACUUUCUGACUAUGCAAGUCUGGAGUUUAAAGAACUCUGUUCUGGCUUCGCAAGUCGCCUGGAAGCGAGUUAUGAAAUGGAAAAGAAUCUGCUAAAGAUGUUAAAUAACAAGCAUGAGGUAAACUUUAUACUCUAUAUUAUUCCCAGUAACCCCCAAGGGCCGGGUCAUCAGUAAAAUGAUGAGCCGGGUCUUUUAAAAGCUUCGCGACCAGUAACCCCCAAGGGCCGGGUCAUCAGUAAAAUGAUGAGCCGGGUCUCGAUUUCUGUAUAAUUUCCCUUGAGAAAUUAUACAUUAGCCCCCAAGUGUCAGGGGUAUUGCCUUGCAAUAAUUCUGAGACUUGUCUUUGUUUUAAAUUUUGAACAGGAAAGCCUUGCCCAGACCGAACUGGCCCUGGGCGACUUAAGGAAAAACUUGGCUGACCAACAAGAUGCCCGAACUCAGUCGGAAGACAAAUAUAAGUUGGCUCUGGUUGAACUGGAAAAGCUCAAAGCCGAGUUAGAAAGAACUCAGGCUGACCACAGCGCGGCUUUGACGAGAGCCGAAAAAGCAGAAGCAAAGCUGGCAACUGUGCAGCAGGAGCUAUCCGGCUUAAAGCGCCAUAUCUCCAACAUGACACAAGCCAUCUUUGGUAAGCUUUACCUAACUCUCUAAUCUUAUCCUCUUCCUUGGGCAAAUUCCUUAAUGUUAACUUACCGGUUAUUCAAUCCCAGGCUCGAGAGUCGCCAAUCUGCAAGACGACUGCGUGUUGAUGCUGAAGGCGAUCUAUACACUGACGGAACAACUGUACACAGGCAGUGUGCUGACUGUUAAAGCCGUGAUAGGUGCAAAAGAGCCCAUAACUUCCAUCAAGAAGGUGCUUGGAUAUCUAUCCACACUUCCUCCCCAGAUCGGCGAGUUAACCCAGUCAGCCGCCCGGAAGGGUGUCCUGACGGCUCUGAGUCGCUGCUUGGCGUACGCUCCGGAAAUUAAUUUGGAAGAAGUAGCUGCCGGCUUCCCUCAGCUUAAAGAUGACGGCUCGGAGUUCGUGGAAGAAGACUACCAGAAGGUUGUCAAAGAUUCUCGGCUGGCCGCAACUCAACUCGUCGCCAGCCUUGACUUGACAAAAUAUCAGGCGGCUUAUGAUGAUAAGAAUAAGAAAAUCAGCCCGCCAACCUUCGUGGUGACCAACCUAAUCCCUCGGCGACCCAAGAAUCCCUUCGACUGGGAAACAGACCUGGCAUCAAUCUUGACCGAUGAAGACGAUUUUGCCUCUUUGUCCAGAUGCAAUUGGGUCUUGGGCGAUUUACAAAUCGAAGCUGGUCAGAGUUCACGCCAGGACUUAGCGGAGUAGAUUUUCCUUGAAUUUGGCCCAAGAGCCAUGUAAUAGUCAGUACUAUCUUUUGAUGACAUCUUCUGCGAAAAAACCCUUAUACCGCUUUUGAGGCGGUUUAAAAUAUUUUGUUAAUCCUUAUCAGAAUCGCCUGUAAUGCUCAAUCCGCCAAGGAUGAAACCUUGAACACAUUAUCUGUGAAAACAAAAAGAACUACAAAUAGUUUCAACGAAUAUGCAGUGAGGACAAAAUUACUCGUUAUGAUUUGACCUUGGAGAUUUGGUCGCGACAGGGGGAGGCGAGUCAGAAAGCUCGUGCACCCACCCUUAAUGCAAGUUUCGUCGGCUCAUACGGUCGCGACAGGGGGAGGCGAGUCAGAAAGCUCGUGCACCCACCCUUAAUGCAGGUUUCGUCGGCUCAUACGGUCGCGACAGGGGGAGGCGAGUCAGAAAGCUCGUGCACCCACCCUUAAUGCAGGUUUCGUCGGCUCAUACGGUCGCGACAGGGGGAGGCGAGUCAAAAAGCUCGUGCACCCACCCUUAAUGCAGGUUUCGUCGGCUCAUACGGUCGCGACGGGGGGAGGCGAGUCAAAAAGCUCGUGCACCCACCCUUAAUGCGGGUUUCGUCGGCUCAUACGGUCGCGACAGGGGGAGGCGAGUCAGAAAGCUCGUGCACCCACCCUUAAUGCAGGUUUCAUCGGCUCAUACGGUCGCGACAGGGGGAGGCGAGUCAAGCUCGUGCACCCAGCCUUAAUGCAGGUUUCGUCGGCUUAUUCGGUCGCGACAGGGGGAGGCGAGUCAAAAAGCUCGUGCACCCACCCUUAAUGCAGGUUUCGUCGGCUCAUACGGUCGCGACAGGGGGAGGCGAGUCAAAAAGCUCGUGCACCCACCCUUAAUGCAGGUUUCGUCGCCUCAUACGGUCGCGACAGGGGGAGGCGAGUCAAGCUCAUCACCCACCCUUAAUGCAUGUUCUGUCGGCUCAUAAGGUCGCAACAGGAUGUCAUGAAAUUGCUCUUUUUUUGAAGAAGAAGCCCCCAAGUCAGGGAAACAUUAUAUUAUUCCAUAAUGAAACUGAAAAACUUACAAAGCAUGGAGUUUUAAGAACUCAUGUGUAGUAAGGCCGCAAAUGGGCAAUAGUCCAAGGGCGAGUUGACUCAGCCCCCGUAGUCGGUCGAUCAGGCCGAAGAUCCAUCAAGUAGUAAGAGCCAUUGCGGAGGUUCUUGCUGACAACGAAAGGCCCCUCCCAAGGGGGCGAAAGCUUAUGCAUGCCUGCCCGAUCUUGUAUCAGUCGAAGCACCAAAUCGCCUUCCUGGAAAGUCCGACUCUUCACCCGGCGACUAUGACAACGCCGCAGAUCUUGCUGAUAGAUCGCCGAACGAGCCGCUGCUAAGUCACGUGCCUCUUCCAAGGCAUCCAAAGAGUCCUGACGCGCCAGCUCGUUGUCUCGCUCCACAUAUGCGGCGACUCUAAGAGAAUCAUGCCUCAUGUCGGUAGGGAGGACGGCUUCUGCUCCAUAGACCAAAAAGAAAGGGGUGAACCCCGUGGACCGAUUCGGGGUGGUCCGGAUGCUCCAUAAUACCGAAGGUAACUCCUCCACCCAACAUCCUGGAGUUCUUUCCAGGGGAAUUAUGAGCCGAGGUUUGAUCCCUCGCAAGACUUCCUGAUUCGCCCGCUCGGCCUGCCCAUUUGACUGCGGGUGAGCAACUGCAGAGAUAUCAAGCCGGAUAUGUUCACGGCGACAGAAAUCCAGCAUCGCUCCUUGGGACAAGUUAGUACCAUUGUCCGUGAUGAUACUGUGUGGAUAUCCAAAACGGAAAAUCAGCUUCUUCAGAAAUUUGACCGCAGUCUCCGCAUCGCAAGCCCCAACAGGUUCCGCCUCAAUCCAUUUAGUGAAUUUAUCAACCGCCACCAAUAAGUGAGUUUUCUUGUUGGAGGACAUCUUAAAGAGACCAACCAUGUCCAGCCCCCAGACCGCGAAAGGCCAAGUAAUGGGGAUCAUCCUCAAUUCUUGAGCCGGCACAUGAGCCUGUCUCCCAUAUCGUUGGCAUUCCUCACACCGCCGUACUAUAUCUUCUGUAUCUGCGUGGGCCGUCAACCAGAAGAAACCAUGUCGAAAGGCUUUUGAUACCAAAGAACGUGACCCGGCGUGAUGUCCGCAGUCUCCAGAAUGGAUGUCAUUUAGGAUUAUGCAUCCUUCCUCGGAAGAAACGCACCGCUGAAAGACCCCUGAAGCACUUCGUUUAUAUAGCUCGCCAUUAAUGAUGACCAUGGACUUGCUACGCCGAACAAUCUGGCGAGCCAAAACUUCGUCAGUGGGUAACUCGCCACGAGCAAGAUAAGCUAGAUAAGGAAGAGCCCAAUCCGGAGCGACAUGGAGAGCCGCCACAAGCUGAGACUCGGGAUCUGGUAUCGCCAAUUCCUCCUCCGUGGGUACAGUCACAGACGGUUUAUGCAGGACAUCCAAGAAAACAUUAGGGGGGACCGGUUUUCUCUGUGAGCCGAGUCGCGAGAGGGCAUCAGCUGCUUCGUUGAGUCGCCGAUCAACAUGAUCAACCUGGUACCCAUGAAAAUAGCCCGCCACGUCAGAUACAGCUCGCCUGUAAGCCGCCAUCAUAGGAUCUCGAGAGUCCCAGGUGCCCGAAACCUGUUGCGCCACCAAAUCUGAAUCCCCAAAGCAUCUGACUCGGGUUAGGUUCAUCUCUUUUGCCAGUCGCAAACCGUGAAGCAGAGCUUCAUACUCUGUCGCAUUAUUUGUGCAAGGGAACAUGAGCCGGAGGACGUAGCAGAACUUAUCUCCUUGAGGGGAUAUCAACACCACACCCGCCCCCGAGCCCUCCAACUGCCUGGAUCCAUCAAAAUAAAUAGUCCAAUAGGUAAGGUCAGGCCGAUCUUCCGGGGCCUGAAGCUCCGUCCAGUCAUUGACGAAAUCAACUAGUGCCUGGGACUUGAUGGCCGUGCGGGGGGUAUACUGUAUGUGAUGUGACCCAAGUUCUAUUGCCCAUUUGGCGAUUCGCCCUGUUGCCUCGCGGUUUUGGAUGACGUCACCGAGGGGCGCGGAACUGACCACGGUGAUCGGGUGUUCCUGGAAAUAAUGUUUAAGCUUUCGACUCGCCAUGAACACCCCAUAGACCAGUUUCUGCCAAUGUGGGUAUCGCUGUUUGGAAAGAGUUAACACCUCACUGAUAAAGUACACCGGGCGUUGCACCGGGUAUUCCUUUCCUUCCUCCUUUCUUUCGACGACCACAGCUACGCUGACCGCUUUGGAAUUCGCGGCGAUACACAGGAGCAUAGGCUCCUUUUCAAUCGGGGCCGCCAGGACCGGCGGGUUAACCAAUUGAUGUUUCAAGGCCUGAAAUGCCUCGUCAGCCUCCUCUGUCCACACGAAUCGGUCGGACUUUCUCAACAAUUGAUAAAGAGGAAUCGCCUUUUCUCCGAGGCGGCUCACGAAACGACUGAGAGCCGCAAUACGACCCGCCAAUCGCUGAACUUGAUUAACAUUCGUCGGCUUGCCGAGGGAAGUAACCGCUUCAAUUUUGUCCGGGUUAGCCUCGAUGCCGCGCUCCGAUACCAAGAAACCCAGUAGUUUUCCCGCAGGUACGCCGAAAACGCACUUGGUAGGAUUUAGCUUCAUCUGAUAUACCCGUAAAUUAUCAAAGGUUUCCUUAAGGUCUUUCAGAAGUGUCUCCUCCCGGUGGGUCUUGAUCACAAUGUCGUCAACAUAGGCAUGGACGUUGCGGCCAAUUUGGCUAUGAAGACAAUUCUGGAUGCAGCGUUGGUAAGUCGCCCCUGCGCUUUUGAGCCCGAACGGCAUGGACACAUAGCAAAAGGCCCCGAAGGGGGUUAUGAAGGCGGUCUUCUCCUGAUCUUCCACAGCCAUUUUGAUCUGAUGAUAACCUGAAUAGGCGUCCAAAAAGCACAAUCAUUCGCAUCCCGCCACCGAGUCAAUGAUUUGGUCGAUGCGGGGAAGAGCGAAAGGAUCCUUGGGACAAGCUCUGUUGAGGUCUGUAUAGUCAAUACACAUACGGAACGUGCCAUUCUUCUUGAGUACUAACACCGGGUUAGCUAGCCAUUUGGGGUGAAAGACUUCCACGAUGAACCCGGCGGCUAAAAGACGGGCGACUUCCUCUCCAAUCACCUUCCGUCGCUCCUCGUUAAACCUGCGAAGGUAUUGUUGGACAGGUUUGCAUUUUGGGUCAAUAUUAAGAUGGUGCUCAGCGAAUUCUCUCGGUACACCCGGCAUGUCAGAGGGCUUCCAUGCGAAGAUGUCGCGAUUCUCACGGAUGAAUUCGAUGAGCGCGCUUUCCUAUUUGGGGUCCAGACCCGUUCCAAUGGUAAACUGCUUGGAUGAAUCGCCAGGGACGAAGUCGACUGUCUUUGUGUCAUCCGUUGGUUUGAACUUGAGGGGCGACUCGGAAUCUGUAGUCGGCUUCUUGAGCGGUGACAUGUCUGCCGGGUCAACAUUGGCCCGGUGGUUUUUUAGCUCUUCCGCCGCGCACGCGACUUCCGCAUAGGUCGCGUCUCCUUCCUCACACUCCUUUGCAAUUCUUCUAUCUCCGUCAAUCGUGAUGGGCCCUUUAGGACCAGGCAUUUUGAGCUUGAGGUAGACGUAGCACGGGCGGGCCAUGAAGCGAGCGUAAGCCGGUCGCCCGAACAGCGCAUGGUAAGGGCUUUUUAGUUUGACCACCUCGAAGACCAGAGACUCCGACCUGUAAUUCUGCGCAGUUCCAAACGCUACUGAGAGCCUGACCCGGCCUAUGGGAUAAGCCGAUUUGCCCGGGACGAUGCCGUGGAAGACCGUGGUUGAAGGCAUCAAGUCUUUCUCUAAUAGAUUCAUCCUCCGGAAGGUGUCGAAGUAUAGGAUAUUAAUGCUGCUGCCGCCAUCCAUUAGUACUUUCGAUAGAGUGUAGCCCCCCACUUGGGGAGCCACGACCAAUGCCAGGUCGCCCGGGUUAUCUAUUCUCGGCGGGUGAUCCUCUCUGCUCCAUGUUAUGGUAUGUUCGGACCAGUGGAGAUAUCUGGGAACUGCCAGCUCAAUUACGUUGUACGCCCGGUGAUUUACCUUUUUAUCACGCCUGCAAGCAUUAGUGGUGAAAACAUGAUACUGCCCAUUACUUAGCUGUUUAGGAUUGUUGCGGAAGCCCCCAUGGUCAUCCUGGUCCUGCGGAGCCCCCUGUGGGGGCGGCUGCUGGAAAACUCCCGGCGGGUUGUACCGCCGUUGACGGUGCACCGGGUACUGGCCGCCGCCUGGCUGCGGGCCCCCCUGUGCCUCUUGUUCGGGAAAACCGCCGAAGGGGUUGUGCCUUUGGUUGGGCGCGGCGAGUUGGUCCUGGCGACGGUUCGGAUCUUCGCUUUGGCUCUUCUUGAUUGCCUCGGCCCCCGAAAUUCUCGCAUCACGAAGCAGUUCUCCCAAGAGUGGCCCGCCGGGCCGUCGGCCGUGGCGUGGUGCGGGCAAGGGCCUUUGAGUAGCUCUUCGUAGUUACGCGGUCUUUUCCCACUGAAGCCUCGAUUCUUCUUUUUGCCGUCGUUGGCGUUGGUGUUGGCAACCAGAUCCGAGGGCUCUUCAUGUGUCCUACGCUUGCCGUUGGUCCCCUGGUUGUGACGGUUGCGGCCUUGGAGGCGGGUGUGGUUUUUGGUUGAAUCGCCCUUCUUGGGCGAGUUACCCUUACCAUCCUCGCCGGGAUCCUUGGUAUCAUCAGCCUCGUCGUACCUAGUGAGGGUAUCCAUCAGCUCGCCCAUAUCCUGAACUUUCCGUUUGAGUCGCCCCAGUUUCUGGACCAGCGGUUCAUAGUGGCAGUUGUGCUCGAGGAUAAGCACAGCUUGCGCUGCCGUGAUGCCAUCCGAUGAAUGGAUAAUUUCCGCGACUCGCCGCGAACAAUGGUGGGCCGACUCAUCCGGGCGUUGCACGCAGUGUUGCAAGUCGACGGUUGUCAUCGGCCGUUUACAGGUUCCUUGGAAGUUUUUGAUGAAACGCUCCUUCAACUCGGCCCAGGACUGGAUAGAAUUGGGGGGUAAGUUUUUCAACCAAGUGCGCGUCGAUCCCUCGAGCAUCAUGGUGAAAUAUCUGGCGCAAACCGCCUCGUUCACGUCGAGCAUGUCCAUGGCGAUCUCAUAGCCCUCGAUCCAAGAUGUUGGUUCGAGAUCUGGUGUGUAAUUAGGCACCUUUCUUGGUCCUUUGAAAUCCUUGGGCAUUCUUUCGUUUCGAAGGUCCAGGGACAAGCAGGGCACCCCAACUCGUCCUCCGGUCCCCGCGGGAGGAGUCUGAACCUCUUGAAUGUUGGGUGGACCACUGCCCGGCGGGUUCCGCUCGGGCGGGUUGUCCUGCGGGAAGUGUCGCGGGGCACUGUUUACGGCUGGCUGAUCCUCCGGCCAACCCCUGGUAUAGCUCGCCUGGGGGGUGGAGUGCAAUCGCUCGGGGCUGUGUGAGAACUGCGCGUUUUGGACCACCGCCGUUUUCAACAUCUCGAUGGCGUUCCUUGCUUCGAUCUCAGCUGGGGUGUUGCCGUGGAUCGGAAGAGACUCCAGAUGGCGAGUUGCGGCAAG